rnacentral:lncRNA from 1 species
CAAUGAGUCAAUCUUUAACAUCUAACCUUCAGUACUGUGAUUCUGCUUUUCUGUUGCUUAAGCCACUCAAUUUGUGCUACUUUAUUACCAUAUCACUAAUAAACUAAAAUUCUGGCCAAGAAAUUGGAAAUAAAAAGCAAUAUGGCAAUUAUCCAGACAAUACAGCAAAAGCCAACUUAAAAAAAUUCUAGGUAUUUGAGGCAGUUUCCCUCAUAUUUUAUAAUUCAAGAUUUUAGAUAUUUAAUUAUCUCCAUUAAAAGUGUUAUGUUAUUGGCUUUCUUUUAAAAAUGGCAUAAAAUAUGUAUCUCACUUAGCAUUUAGGGUUAUACAUAUUUACAGUAAAAGUAAGAACAUUAAUGAGAUGUAUUGAUACAUACCUGAUAUAGAAGAGAUAUCUCAUUAGGAUAGUAAGGUGAAGUCAACAAUUUCAAUCACAUUUUAUUUCUGUAAAAAAGCUAAGAUACAUAUGGAAAAUUUUAAACAUUUAUUACAUAAGGAUAUAGCUACAUUGGUGUUUGUUAUAAUUUCGGUAUAAUCCUUUUAUUGUGGUCAGAAAUCCAUACCGUAACAUUUAUCAUCUUAACCACUUUUUAGUGUAUAGUAACACUACUAGUAUUAACCAAUUGCACAUUGUUUUGGGACAGAUCUCCAGGACAUUUCAUCUUAGAUGACUAAAAAUCUAUAUUCCUUUAACAAAAUCUCCUCUAUGUACCUUUAUAUGUUUGAUAGUAGGAAAAGAAUCACAUAUUAAAUACACUUAUUAUUUCUACCUUUAGAAGGCAAAAAUAUAUUUCUCCUUAACAAUAUGUAUGUAAGGAAGACAGAAUCCUUUGUGGAACAUUGGUGGUUAAUAAUUCAAUAAUUCAUGGCCAUAUACCUAUUACUUCAUACACAAGUAUGAGUAAUAUUAAGGAUUUACUUCUUAAUUCGAAAACAUUCUUGGCCAGAUGCGGUGGCACACUCCUGUAAUCCCAAGUGGCUUGGGAAGCUGAGGCAGGAGGAUUGUAAGUUUCAAAGCCAGCCUCAGCAACAGAGACUCUGUCUCUAAAAAAAAUACAAAAUAAGGCUGGGGAUGAGGCUUAGUGAGUGCCCCUGAGUUCAACCCCCAAAACCCCUCAAAAAUAAAAAAACAAACAAAUCUUAUCAUGGAAUUGGCCCAUCACUGUUGUCUAUGUUCUCUUUUCAGUAUUUAAGACUUACAUAGUGCCUUCAAAUAAAAAACAAAAAAACAAGCCUAUCUUCCUCCAUGGCACUUCACUAAGUAGGAAACUAUAAACAUCAUUUUAACUACAAACGAAUUCAAUUUGUAGUUAAUAUAAUGUCUAAGAUUUUGUCUCUAAAUAUAAGGAUGUCAUCUAUGAAAUGUGUAAAGGAGAGCUCAAAUCUGCAUAACCCCUUAGGGGGGAGUUAACAAAAAGAAUUAAGUUACUCAUUUAGAAAAUUUGCCUUUUCUUCUCAAAGGCUCUAGAUCUUAUUAUUUCACUGAACAAACUAUUUUUUUCUUUUAAUACUAAAAGCAAAAGUUCUUGCACAAAGUCACAAAUAAUUUAAAGAAGAAGAAUGUGAAUGUGGCUUCAUAGUCAUUAGAGUAAAGGAGAUUCAUUCCAUAGUGUCAGGUCAAAUGCUUCAUGCUUUGCUUUAAUGAUUCUGUUCCUACUACCCUUUUCUGAGACAAAUACAAUAACAGUACAUUUUAUAGGGGGUCACCUUCUAAAACUAUUGAUUUUUCUAAUAGGAAUCCAGGAAGAACUUAUGAUAUAACACAAUGUGUUCUUACCUGUCUGUGAUACUCUUUAAGGAACUAGCAAUAAUCUGUCAUUAGGGAAUGAGCCAAUGAUCCUAUUCUUUUCAAUAAUAUGGAGCCUCUAUCUUCACUAUUGAAAAAAUUUAAAAAAUCCAUUUUUCAAAAAACGCUUUAUUAUUGAUAUAGUAUGAGAAAAAAACCCUUCAAACUUAAUUUUUCUUGAAGUAGAAAUACAGUCAACUUGCUCUCUGUUUGAAGGUUCUGCAUUUGCAAACCAACUGUGAGUCAUAUAAAAAAAUUUGCAUCUGUACUGAACACACAGAGACUUUUUUGUUCAUUGUUCCCUGAGCAAUACAGUAUAACACCUUUUUCUUAGGAUUCAUAUUUUAUUAGAUAUUUCAAGUGAUCUAGAGCUGACUUAAAGUAUACAGUAAGGUUGUGUAGAUUAUGUGUAAAUAAUGUAACAUUUUAUAUAAGCAACUUGAGCAACAGCAGAUAUUAAUACGCCAGGCUACCUGGAACCAAUCCCCCAUGGAUCCAAUUAAAUUACCAGUAUUAAUAGCUAUAAAUAAAUGGAAAAAAAUAUAACCUUUACAAUAAAAUGGAUGGGGUUUCAAAAAAUGUUUGUAGAGCAAUUACUGGAACUUCCUGGCAAUACUUGCUGAAGCAGAUAUUUUACUUCCUUGAAUUAUUAAUUUAAUCUUUACCCUAUUCAUUUUACUUUGGAUGAUGAUUAUAAAAAGAUUUUUC